CCGGGGAGUGAAUCAAGCUACCAUUGAAUUCGAUAAGAGAUUUCCUCUAAGAUACUUUGAGUUUGACGUUUAUAUUCUCACUUUUACUUUUCUUCGAUAACUUCGUUUUCCUUUUAGUUUCUGUUUUUGAUACCUGCAGUACAUGACAAGGAGUCAAAACUCAGGUGUGCCGCCAUACCAAGAUAUAGGAAGACUAGAACAUGAAAUCUGGAGACUUCAAAGACAACAACUUAUGGCCGACCAAAGAAACCCGCAAGACGGAGACCUUGGUGUGGAUGUCGGAUUCGCACACUCAAGUAUUUUUAUGAAGUAGGAAAGAUUACUCUUGAGGGACAAAAAUGAAUAUGUAAAAAGCUUAUGAAUUGUUACAAAAAUUGCUAUAGUAUUUCUUACUCGAAAAAGAUGGAUCCCCCUUACAUUGACAUUCGCCCUUAUAUUUAUACAUAGAAUAACAACACUUAAAUGCCUAAUUAAGUACAAUUAUUCUCUCUUACAUGUGUCCGUUUUGAUCCUUGACUUUAAUGCUUAACGCUCGAAUUUGAGGUGAUUCCGAUCUUCAUGGGCUUCGCCAGUCGGCCCAAAUAUCCUUGGACCGACUUAACUGUGACUUCGACUCCGGACUCAUGUCGAGGUGCAGUCACUUCGACAUGAGUGAAUCAAGCUUUUUGGCGUUGUUGCCGGGGAGUGAAUCAAGCUACCAUUGAAUUCGAUAAGAGAUUUCCUCUAAGAUACUUUGAGUUUAACGUUUAUAUUCUCACUUUUACUUUUCUUCGAUAACUUCGUUUUCCUUUUAGUUUCUGUUUUUGAUACCUGCAGUACAUGACAAGGAGUCAAAACUCAGGUGUGCCGCCAUACCAAGAUAUAAGAAGACUAGAACAUGAAAUCUGGAGACUUCAAAGACAACAACUUAUGGCCGACCAAAGAAACCCGCAAGACGGAGACCUUGGUGUGGAUGUCGGAUUCGCACACUCAAGUAUUUUUAUUAAGUAGGAAAGAUUACUCUUGAGGGACAAAAAUGAAUAUGUAAAAAGCUUAUGAAUUGUU
rnacentral:lncRNA from 1 species